rnacentral:rRNA from 1 species
AUCAAAGAAGGUAAUAAUCCUGUAGUCGAAAAUGUUGUCUCUCUUGAGUGGAUCCUGAGUACGACGGAGCACGUGAAAUUCCGUCGGAAUCUGGGAGGACCAUCUCCUAAGGCUAAAUACUCUCUAGUGACCGAUAGUGAACCAGUACCGUGAGGGAAAGGUGAAAAGCACCCCGGAAGGGGAGUGAAAUAGAACCUGAAACCGUGUGCUUACAAGUAGUCAGAGCCCGUUAAUGGGUGAUGGCGUGCCUUUUGUAGAAUGAACCGGCGAGUUACGAUUUGAUGCAAGGUUAAGCAGUAAAUGUGGAGCCGUAGCGAAAGCGAGUCUGAAUAGGGCGUUUAGUAUUUGGUCGUAGACCCGAAACCAGGUGAUCUACCCUUGGUCAGGUUGAAGUUCAGGUAACACUGAAUGGAGGACCGAACCGACUUACGUUGAAAAGUGAGCGGAUGAACUGAGGGUAGCGGAGAAAUUCCAAUCGAACCUGGAGAUAGCUGGUUCUCUCCGAAAUAGCUUUAGGGCUAGCCUCAAGUGAUGAUUAUUGGAGGUAGAGCACUGUUUGGACGAGGGGCCCCUCUCGGGUUACCGAAUUCAGACAAACUCCGAAUGCCAAUUAAUUUAACUUGGGAGUCAGAACAUGGGUGAUAAGGUCCGUGUUCGAAAGGGAAACAGCCCAGACCACCAGCUAAGGUCCCAAAAUAUAUGUUAAGUGGAAAAGGAUGUGGCGUUGCCCAGACAACUAGGAUGUUGGCUUAGAAGCAGCCAUCAUUUAAAGAGUGCGUAAUAGCUCACUAGUCGAGUGACACUGCGCCGA